CGUCCUCAACAUUUCUUUGUCGUCAGAUGUAUAGGUUUGCAGUUUACCAUCACUUCCGAUUAUGCGCAUUUUCACUAC